ensembl:lncRNA
AAAAAAAAAGAGAAAGAAAAAAAGAAAAAAAAGAAAAAAAAAGAAAAAGAAAAAGAAAAAGAAAAAGAAAAAGAAAAAGAAAAAGAAAAAGAAAAAGAAAAAGAAAAAGAAAAAGAAAAAGAAAAAGAAAAAGAAAAAGAAAAAGAAAAAGAAAAAGAAAAAGAAAAAAAGUGUAUUUUAUGUCUCUCUUUCUUUAUCUCCAAAGGAUUUACUCGAGGUCCAUUUUAACCUUCCCUAUUUAAGGAAUACCAACCAAGACUUUGGCUGGUGUCAUCAGAAGUGUCUACUUUUGUCAUCUGCUUUUCUUUCUCGGCUUUGGAGAAUGGAUCAUCUUACCAAAAUGUGAACCGUUAUGAAUUUGUUUUUAUGAGUUGUACAUUAGCCUGUCUCAAGGUAAAAGCCCUGAAAGGAUUUAAGAGUUCCUAAACAGGUUCUUGCUGAUUAGAUCACAACACAUCUGAAAGGAUCGUGAUACGCCUAUUAUAAAUUAUUUAGUUUCAGAGGAAUUAUUAUAGUUAGCAGGUAAAUAUGCACCAGUGCCCCAGGGAGAAAAUGAAAUGAGACUAUGAAAAGUGUAUAACCUUGGAGGUCUGGGUAAAAUUCAAAAAUACCAAGAAAAGAAGGCUGAAAAUUUGGUCUGACACAAUCUUCAUGUUGCCUUAUGCUUCUUCUACAUGCCAAAGUUGCCGAAGUGUGUGUGAUUUAACCUGGUGCAAUGUAAGUGCUGCCUUUAAUUUGGG